rnacentral:rRNA from 1 species
UUGAAAGGGAAACGAUUGAAGUCAGUCAUGCCGGCGGGAAUCAACUUAGGGGAAACUUUAAGUGCACUUCACGUUUGGCAGGUCAGCAUCGAUUUUGGAUGUCAUAAAAUGAUUGGGGGAAGGUAGCUCCUUCGGGAGUGUUAUAGCCCUUGGUAGAUGUGAUGUCUGGGAUCGAGGAUUGCAACGGAUACCCUUUGGGCUAGCCGCCUGAUCUCUAACUGGUGUUGGGUUACGGACAGCAUGCUGACCGUGAUUUAAUUAUUGGUUAAAAGGUUAGAGCGAGUGUAAAUUCGUUAAGGAUGUUGACGUA